rnacentral:rRNA from 1 species
GGCUCAGAACGAACGCUGGCGGCGUGGAUUAGGCAUGCAAGUCGUGCGAGAAAGGGUAGCAAUACCCGAGUACAGCGGCGAACUGGUGAGUAACAGGUGGGUAAUGUGCCCUGAAGUGGGGGAUAACACCGGGAAACCGGUGCUAAUACCGCAUGUGACUUUCGGAAUCAUGGUUCUGAAAGUUAAAGCAGUAGUGCGCUUCGGGAUCGGCCCGCCCCCGAUUAGCUAGUUGGUGAGGUCAAGGCUCACCAAGGCGACGAUCGGUAGCUGGUCUGAGAGGAUGGUCAGCCACACUGGGACUGAGAUACGGCCCAGACUCCUACGGGGGGCAGCAGUCUAGAGGCUUCGGCAAUGGGGGCAACCCUGACCGAGCGACGCCGCGUGUGGGAUUGAAGGCCUUCGGGUCGUAAACCACUGUCAUUGGGAAAGAAUGCCCGCAUGGCGAAUGCGGGAGAGACGGUACCCAAGAAGGAAGCCCCGGCUAACUCCGUGCCAGCAGCCGCGGUAAUACGGAGGGGGCGAGCGUUGUUCGGAUUUACUGGGCGUAAAGGGUGUGUAGGCGGCCGCGCAAGUCUGGUGUGAAAUCUUGAGCGCUUAACGCGAAGAGGUCACUGGAAACUGCGCGGCUCGAGUGUGGUAGAGGCAAGCGGAAUUCCUGGUGUAGCGGUGGAAUGUGUAGAUAUCAGGAAGAACACCGGUGGCGAAGGCGGCUUGCUGGGCCAUCACUGACGCUGAGACACGAAAGCGUGGGGAGCAAACGGGAUUAGAUACCCCGGUAGUCCACGCUGUAAACGGUGCGCACUAGGUGUGGGAGGUAUCGACCCCUCCUGUGCCGCAGCAAACGCAUUAAGUGCGCCGCCUGGGGAGUACG